GGUUUGUUUCCUUUAAUUAAAUCUCAAAUUUACAAGAGUCCAGACUGUCUGGACAGCCCAACAGGGACACAGAGAGUUUUACACACUGAUGUCUCAACAGCACAGGGUUCCAUCGGGACUUCGUGAGAAAAUCAGGAUCCAUGUACGUUCUUGAAGAGCUGUCUCUCGGCCUAAGAUAAGUGGAGAAGGUUGCCUUGGAAGCGUGGGGUAGAGGUAGGAACAGCUGGCUCUCUGGCCAAGGCCUUUGGCUUUUUCGCGGAAGCAAAAACCGAACCACGGGAAGGCUGCUCCGAGUCUGGGGUCAGAAUUUCCUAUCAGUGAGUGCAGCAGGCCAGGGAGAGGCGAAAGGGAGUGGAGAGGACUGUGGUGAAAGGGAGAGGGGCGGCCCCUGCACAGCUUCACCAGGCGUCAGUGCAGACAAAUUCCAAAUGUCUCAAAUACUGAAUGGAGCCAGCUAGACCUACCUUCUCACCAAGUAAGGCCCACAGGCCCCUGCCGCAACCUCUACCCUCCACAGACAAGGUUCUGCAAAACAGUCAUGGGACCUUGUUUCACCUCCCCCACAGGCACCCAAAAUAACCUUCCUGACCUGCAGCAGCAUUUUGCAAUCUUUGAGAACCCCUGCCCCCUGCUGACAAACAAAAAUGGCAAAUAGACUCCCCCACACCACGCCUCCACGCCCUGAGCUGAGAAUCGCCCGCAUCUCGUGGGUGGUACCAGAGCCAAGACGACAGCCAAGCUUUGCUUUCUCAGCUCUGUCUUAUAAAAGCAACAUGGUUGGCUGGUUGGUUGCUGAUUCUCCAAAU
rnacentral:lncRNA from 10 species